rnacentral:rRNA from 1 species
AGUGAACGCUGGCGGUAGGCCUAACACAUGCAAGUCGAACGGCAGCACAGUAAGAGCUUGCUCUUACGGGUGGCGAGUGGCGGACGGGUGAGGAAUACAUCGGAAUCUACUUUUUCGUGGGGGAUAACGUAGGGAAACUUACGCUAAUACCGCAUACGACCUACGGGUGAAAGCAGGGGAUCUUCGGACCUUGCGCGAUUGAAUGAGCCGAUGUCGGAUUAGCUAGUUGGCGGGGUAAAGGCCCACCAGGGCGACGAUCCGUAGCUGGUCUGAGAGGAUUAUCAGCCACACUGGAACUGAGACACGGUCCAGACUCCUACGGGAGGCAGCAGUGGGGAAUAUUGGACAAUGGGCGCAAGCCUGAUCCAGCCAUACCGCGUGGGUGAAGAAGGCCUUCGGGUUGUAAAGCCCUUUUGUUGGGAAAGAAAAGCAGCAGGUUAAUACCCCGCUGUUCUGACGGUACCCAAAGAAUAAGCACCGGCUAACUUCGUG